rnacentral:rRNA from 1 species
AAUCAACGCUGGCGGCGUGCCUAACACAUGCAAGUCGAACGCGAAAGCCCGCAAGGGUAAGUAGAGUGGCGCACGGGUGAGUAACACGUGGACAACCUGCCUUCGAGUGGGGAAUAACCUUCCGAAAGGAGGGCUAAUACCGCAUAACACCUCGGGACACAAGUUUUGGGGUUGAAAAGAGCAAUUUGCUCGAAGAGGGGUCCGCGCCUGAUUAGCUAGUUGGUGAGGUAACGGCUCACCAAGGCUUCGAUCAGUAGCCGUCCUGAGAGGGAGCACGGCCACACUGGAACUGAGACACGGUCCAGACUCCUACGGGAGGCAGCAGUGGGGAAUUUUUGGCAAUGGGCGAAAGCCUGACCAAGCAACGCCGCGUGGGUGAUGAAGUAUCUUGGUACGUAAAACCCUUUCGGCAGGGACGAACCUAAUGACGGUACCUGCGGAAGAAGCCCCGGCUAACUCCGUGCCAGCCGCCGCCGUAAC